rnacentral:sRNA from 4 species
UGCAUCUGAAGCCUGACGAGGAUGAGAACCUCCGGGGGCAGGAGGUUCGACCCGAGCGAAGCGAGAGAACGUUGCGUCAGCAACGGCCCGCAGGGCGAGCCACGCAGUGGCGAGUCAUCCUCUAUCACCGACCA